ensembl:scaRNA Small Cajal body specific RNA 13
AUUGCGACUUUGUUAACACGGCCCCUUGCGAGAUCUGCAAGUGGUGCCCCCUCAAAGUCGCAGAGAGUAACUCAAGGAAUGAAAAGGCGUGGCUCCUGGAGGUGCCGGAGGUCCACGUGCGAUGUUCCUUGGACACGUUGCCCCCCCCCCGUGUGACCCCUGCUUCCCACGGCGGUGGUGGCGGUCUGACCUGUGGCCACCACCUCUUCUUGAGGCAGGGAGAGAGAAGGCAGUGAGGGUGUAGUGUCUGGCAGGGUGAGCUGCUCCUGCCCGACGCCUUUCCACUGAGACAU